rnacentral:rRNA from 1 species
GAUGAACGCUGGCGGCGUGCUUAACACAUGCAAGUCGAACGGAAAGGCCCCUGUUUGCAGGGGUACUCGAGUGGCGAACGGGUGAGUAACACGUGAGUGACCUGCCCUGCACUUCGGGAUAAGUUUGGGAAACUGGGUCUAAUACCGGAUAGGACCACAUGUUGAAUGGUGUGGUGGAAAGCUUUUCGGUGGGGGAUGAGCUCGCGGCCUAUCAGCAUGUUGUUGGGGUUAUAGACUACCAAGGCGACGACGGCUAGCCGGCCUGAGGGGGUGUACGGCGAAAUUGGGACUGAGAUACGGGCCAGACUCCUACGGGAGGCAGCAGUGGGGAAUUUUGCACAAUGGGCGCAAGCCUGAUGCAGCGACGCCGCGUGGGGGAUGACGGCCGUCGGGUUGUAAACUGCUUUCGCGAGUGACAAAGCGCAAGUGACGGUACUUGGAGAAGAAGCACCGGCUAACUACGUG